UACGAAGGGUGCUAGCGUUGUUCGGAAUUACUGGGCGUAAAGAGCGCGUAGGCGGUUAUACAAGUCAGGGGUGAAAUCCUGGGGCUUAACCCCAGAAUUGCCUUUGAAACUGUUAAGCUUGAGUGUCGGAGGGGAUAGCGGAAUUGCUAAUGUAGAGGUGAAAUUCGUAGAUAUUAGCAGGAACACCGGUGGCGAAGGCGGCUAUCUGGACGACAACUGACGCUGAGGCGCGAAAGCGUGGGGAUCAAACAGG
rnacentral:rRNA from 1 species